AGUGAACGUUGGCGGCGUGGAUUAGGCAUGCGAGUCGAGCGAGAACCGUAGCAAUACGGGGACAGCGGCGAAAGGGACAGUAAUAUGUAGGUACCUACCCUCGGGUCCGGGAUAGCUGCGGGAAACUGCAGGUAAUACCGUAUGACAUCUCCGGAUCAAAGGUGUGAUUCCGCCCGGGGAGGGGCCUGCAUCCUAUUAGCUAGUUGGCGGGGUAACGGCCCACCAAGGCGACGAUGGGUAGCGGGUGUGAGAGCACGACCCGCGUCAUUGGGACUGAGACACUGCCCAGACACCUACGGGUGGCUGCAGUCGAGAAUCUUCGGCAAUGGGGGAAACCCUGACCGAGCGACGCCGCGUGCGGGAUGAAGGCCUUCGGGUUGUAAACCGCUGUCGUAGAGGAGGAAAUGCAGGGGGGUUCUCCCCUCUGUUUGACCUAUUCUAGGAGGAAGGACGGGCUAAGUUCGUGCCAGCCGCCGCAGUAA
rnacentral:rRNA from 1 species